rnacentral:sRNA from 1 species
UUGUAACCCCAUUCGUGUGAGGGAUAGAAGUGGAAAGCCCACAGCCUGACGAAGGAAGUGCGAGGACUUGUAACGGAUAGCCCGACCCGCC